rnacentral:misc_RNA from 1 species
GAUGAAGAACGUAGCGAAACGCGAUAGUUAAUGUGAAUUGCAGAAUUCAGUGAAUCAUCGAGUCUUUGAACGCACAUUGCGCCUUUUGGUAUUCCGAGAGGCACGCCUGUCUGAGCGUCAGUAAAACCCUUCGGUUUGACGAUUUAUUGUCUCCCCGGCGUUGGCGGUUUUUGGGUCCUUGUGGCUCGAUUCCGUUUAAACACUGACACGCGGAGAUUAAGGUGUUAAAGGAUUAACCCCUCAUCGAUUAGUAGAAAUAUUUAUCUUUGAAGAUUAUGACUUUAAAACCCCACCCGCUAUACAAAACAGGGAGCUCUUUUUUGAGCACCCGACCUUGAAUUUUGACCUCAGAUCAGACGAGGAUACCCGCUGAACUUAAGCAUAUCAAUAAGCGGAGGA